UACGUAGGUGACAAGCGUUGUCCGGAUUUACUGGGCGUAAAGAGCGCGCAGGCGGUCGUUCAAGUCGAGUGUGAAAGCCCACGGCUCAACCGUGGAGGGUCAUUGGAAACUGGGGAACUUGAGUGCAGAAGAGGAAAGCGGAAUUCCACGUGUAGCGGUGAAAUGCGUAGAGAUGUGGAGGAACACCAGUGGCGAAGGCGGCUUUCUGGUCUGUAACUGACGCUGAGGCGCGAAAGCGUGGGGAGCAAACAGG
rnacentral:rRNA from 1 species